CAUGUUGUUAGGCAGUCGCUAGGGUGUUUGUCCCCUCAUGUCGUUAGGCAGUCGCUAGGGUGUCCCGGAUGUUUUUCCCCCCUCAUGUUGUUAGGCAGUCGCUAGGGUGUUUGUCCCCUCAUGUUGUUAGGCAGUCGCUAGGGUGUUUGUCCCCUCAUGUUGUUAGGCAGUCGCUAGGGUGUCCCGGAUGUUUUCCCCCCCUCAUGUUGUUAGGCAGUCGCUAGGGUGUUUGUCCCCUCAUGUUGUUAGGCAGUCGCUAGGGUGUUCCGGAUGUUUUUCCCCCCUCAUGUCGUUAGGCAGUCGCUAGGGUGUUCCAGGUGUUUUUCCCCCUUAUGUUGUUAGGCAGUUGCUAGGGUGUUCCAGUUUUUUUGGUUUGUUUUUAUACCAUGUAGUUAGGCAGUCGCUAGGGUAUUCCGGGUGUUUGCUUACCAUGUUGUUAGGCAGUCGCUAGGGUGUUCCGGGUGUUUUUCCCCCUUAUGUUGUUAGGCAGUUGCUAGGGUGUUCCAGUUUUUUUGGUUUGUUUUUAUACCAUGUAGUUAGGCAGUCGCUAGGGUAUUCCGGGUGUUUGCUUACCAUGUUGUUAGGCAGUUGCUAGGGUGUUCCGGGUGUUUGUUUACCAUGUUGUUAGUCAGUUGCCAGCGUGUUCCGGGUGUUCUUUCCCCUCAUGUUGUUAGGCAGUCGCUAGGGUGUUCCGGGUGUUUUUUUGUUUGUUUUUUUACCAUGUUGUUAGGCAGUCGCUGGUGUGGACAAUGGACAAUUUUUUUUUUUUUUUUACCAUGCCGUUAGGCGGUUGUAAGUGUGUUCAGGGUGUUUCUUUUACUAUGUUGUUAGGCAGUUACUAGGGUGU
ensembl:lncRNA